GUGGGACUGCCCAUUGAACAGAGGCCUGAUGUCACAUCUUGAAGUUGUGGUCACAGUUUGGUUAAAUUACCAUAAGUUAAAUGGCUCAACCACUACGGCUCCUUGUACAAAUGGACAAAGAUUUAAAACUUUUGCCCAACUAGGGCUCAAACCAAUACCUGGAGGCUAGUAAUCAUACAUGUAAGGUGUGACGAACUACCAUACAAACACGCC
rnacentral:lncRNA from 1 species